UGCCCUAUGGAGUCCGGCAGAAUCACGUAGAUGAAAACCGGCAGCGUCUGACUCUGGAUCAGAAGAGUCCAGGUUCGAGCCCUGGAGGGGCAA
rnacentral:tRNA from 1 species